rnacentral:rRNA from 1 species
GAGACCUUCGGGUCUAGUGGCGCACGGGUGCGUAACGCGUGGGAAUCUGCCCUGGGGUGCGGAAUAACUCAGAGAAAUUUGAGCUAAUACCGCAUAAUGUCUUCGGACCAAAGAUUUAUCGCCCUGGGAUGAGCCCGCGUUGGAUUAGCUAGUUGGUGGGGUAAUGGCCUACCAAGGCGACGAUCCAUAGCUGGUCUGAGAGGAUGAUCAGCCACACUGGGACUGAGACACGGCCCAGACUCCUACGGGAGGCAGCAGUGGGGAAUAUUGGACAAUGGGGGAAACCCUGAUCCAGCAAUGCCGCGUGAGUGAUGAAGGCCCUAGGGUUGUAAAGCUCUUUUACCAGGGAUGAUAAUGACAGUACCUGGAGAAUAAGCUCCGGCUAACUCCGUGCCAGCAGCCGCGGUAAUACGGAGGGAGCUAGCGUUGUUCGGAAUUACUGGGCGUAAAGCGCGCGUAGGCGGCAUGCCAAGUCAGGGGUGAAAUCCCGGGGCUUAACCC